AUUGAACGCUGGCGGCAGGCCUAACACAUGCAAGUCGAGCGGAUGAAGGGAGCUUGCUCCUGGAUUCAGCGGCGGACGGGUGAGUAAUGCCUAGGAAUCUGCCUCGUAGUGGGGGAUAACGUCCGGAAACGGGCGCUAAUACCGCAUACGUCCUGAGGGAGAAAGUGGGGGAUCUUUGGACCUCACGCUAUCAGAUGAGCCUAGGUCGGAUUAGCUAGUUGGUGGGGUAAAGGCCUACCAAGGCGACGAUCCGUAACUGGUCUGAGAGGAUGAUCAGUCACACUGGAACUGAGACACGGUCCAGACUCCUACGGGAGGCAGCAGUGGGGAAUAUUGGACAAAGGGCGAAAGCCUGAUCCAGCCAUGCCGCGUGUGUGAAGAAGGUCUUCGGAUUGUAAAGCACUUUAAGUUGGGAGGAAGGGCAGUAAGUUAAUACCUUGCUGUUUUGACGUUACCAACAGAAUAAGCACCGGCUAACUUCGUG
rnacentral:rRNA from 1 species